rnacentral:tRNA from 1 species
GUCAGGAUGGCCGAGUGGUCUAAGGCGCCAGCCAGACUCAAGGUUGUCUACCUUUAUAAAGAGUGUUCUGGUCCACGUAUGUGGGCGUGGGUUCAAAUCCCACUUCUGACA